UACCAAGAAUUGAGUGGGUUUCACCUCCAC
rnacentral:piRNA from 1 species